UACGUAGGGUGCAAGCGUUAAUCGGAAUUACUGGGCGUAAAGCGUGCGCAGGCGGUUGUGCAAGACAGAUGUGAAAUCCCCGGGCUUAACCGUGGAACUGCAUUUGUGACUGCACGGCUAGAGUGUGUCAGAGGGGGUAGAAUUCCACGUGUAGCAGUGAAAUGCGUAGAUAUGUGGAGGAAUACCGAUGGCGAAGGCAGCCCCCUGGGAUAACACUGACGCUCAUGCACGAAAGCGUGGGGAGCAAACAGG
rnacentral:rRNA from 1 species